AUAAAAUAACUUUAAACAAUUUGGCAGCAUCCAUAAAGCUGUCUGUUAAAAGCAAGAUUAUUUUAACAUUAAUCAUCAUAUCACUGGAAGUUAAUAUUGAUAAGAGACAGGAUGAGACCCAAGUAGUUAGAAUUUUUAAAAAGCCUUAACAAACGCUUCGGAGGAUCUGUACAGAAACCGAGCUUCUCGGGAUAAAACGACGAUCUCCAGCCUGAAUGACCUCUUGCAAAGAUUUAGCCAAUCGUCAUCCAAAUCUACAGGUUAAGAGAAAGCCCGGAUCUGGCCAAUGUGACUGUACAGGUACUUUGUCUAAACAUAAAACUGACCUGGCCAGUGUAGAGGCAUGUGACUGUACACGUACUGACAUAAAAUCUUCCGGCUGUAUCCGCUGCUGCAACAUUUUAGAGAAGGAACUGCAUGCUUGUCCCGGCUUUGCCGAUCCGCCGCCGAUAUGUCUUAUUUCAUUAUAGACCAACAAAAAUGAAAAAUUAGAUGAUUAAAUAAAUUAAAAAUAAAAUGAACGAUAACAUACCAUGGAACAGUAAAAACAAUCGAAAAGAAGAAAAUCACAGAAAUAGUCACAAUGGUUUCCUUCUAACAAGUAAGACUAAUAAAGUCACAUGAUUUUUUCGUACGGAGGCCUGUCUUUCUCGUUGGCCACGACUGCUGGCAUAAUGACGUAACUUGUAAUGGUCCAAUUACAGCAACUGUAUUAUAACUACACGAGAUAUUAGUACUGCGCAGUGUUAUCCCAGCUUACUCUAUCUAAGAUUAGGUUUAUGUACCAAUUUAUUAUAUAUGAGAUUUAAUAUAAUGUCAAAAUUUGCUUUAGUCAUCCUGAAAUAGCAAUAAAAUGGUAUUAAUUUAAUAAUUUUUGGUACAAGUUAUAACUGUAUGAUAUGCUUAUUUACCUAAAAUAUUUGAACUGACAUUCAGGAUCGCUU
rnacentral:lncRNA from 1 species